AAAAGACUUGUAAUCUGCUCUUACAUGGCGCUAGAAGAAAUCCUUCUAAAGUACCACGUGGAGAUCAGCUAAGUGUUGAGGGAAAAAAUGGGGGAAAAAAGAUUAUGGUCUGGUAAAAGGGAUGCUGUAUCUGAAUUGGAACAAGGGAAGGCAACAUCAGUUUUGGUCUGUAAAUAUGAACAGCAGUUUAUGACUUCCAUGAAAUAUUGGAGGAAUGCAGAGAUGAGAAGUUUAGUAGUAUGGUGAUGGAGUACGUACAAAGAAUGCAGCGGAUAAUGGCAGUCCUGUCCUCUGAACAGAUGGUGAUGGUCCUGUUGCUAGGAUAAGGUGCCUGCACAAAGCCAUACUGUAUUAAGUGAUUUAAAGGAGCCCCGUAUCAGAUGCUGUGGGAUUGACUAAUGGCUGAGAGCAUCAACAAUGCAUUCUGCUCAGUCUCGUGUCCAAAAUCACUGCCUGUGAUUCAAAGACAACACAAGAUUUUGUGAAAAAAAUAACGAAGCCCAGCGCCGGAGGAGUCUAAGUGAUGCCCUUGUACCUCUAAGCACCUCUAAGCUUUAUACGGUGAUUUUUCAGGCCUGGUUUAUUAAGGAAAUUCUUUCCAGGGCUUCUCAAUAAGAGUGGGGAUGGAGGAGGAGCAGAGAGAAACUGGUGGGAGAGACGUCGCUGCAGUAAUGAACAGAGCUGAGCCUGCAGUGCCAG